GAUGAAGAACGCAGCGAAAUGCGAUACUUGGUGUGAAUUGCAGAAUCCCGUGAACCAUCGAGUCUUUGAACGCAAGUUGCGCCCGAAGCCAUUAGGCCGAGGGCACGCCUGCCUGGGCGUCACACGUCGUUGCCCCCCCAUCUACUCCUUCGGGAUUGCGGGGGGCGGAGGAUGGCCUCCCGUGCGCCUCGCCGCGCGGUUGGCAUAAAUGCCAAGUCCUCGGCGACGCACGCCACGACAAUCGGUGGUUGCGAAACCUCGGUUGCCCGUCGUGUGCGGUCGUCGCGCAUCGAGGGCUCGAAAAAAUUGCCGGGUUCCGGCUCGGCUUUCAACGCGACCCCAGGUCAGGCGGGGUUACCCGCUGAAUUUAAGCAUAUCAAUAAGCGGAGGA
rnacentral:misc_RNA from 1 species